ensembl:processed_transcript Gm38132 predicted gene, 38132
GAUACCAACAAUGCCAGUCUCAGGAAAGGGCUGGAGCGGAAAGAGCCAAAUCCUAUCACACCUUGUGUUCCAGACACUGUUUCAAACGGGCUGUGAAGCCAUAUCAGAAUUCCUAACAGAGACAACUUAAAGGAGAAAGAAUGCAUAGUGGCUCAUGGUUCCCAGGGAGAGCUGUCCAUCAAAAAGGGGGAAGGCGUAGCUGAGUCUGUGACCUGAGAGCGUGGAGCAGAGGCUGCUCCUAUGUAAGAAGCAGAGAGCUCAGUCAGGAGCCAGAAUCUCUGCCCCAGUAACCCACUCCUGCUGGUGAAGCCACAGCCUCCAAACCGGCGCCACCAGCAGGGGCUAGGUGUUCAUACACAUGCAGCUGUGGUGAGAGUGAGGGUUAGAGAGGGGGACACCUGGCUGGCUAGCCAGAGAGAGACACAGAGACAGAACAAAGACCUACAGCUCCUGACCCUGCCUCCUUCCUACCCAGGGUCAAUUAGGCCUAGAAUUUCCUGUAGGCCUUGUCCUCAGCUGGAGGCAAUAAAUCAUGCUAUGGGUUUCUGUUGCAUAGUGGUUGUCAGUCUGACAUCUCCCACACAUUGUGCUCAUACCCACGUGGGUACAAGGCCGUAUGUCUAUCUGCACGGGAAUCCUGGGGGCACUUAGCUCUCAAGUGCAAGUGUACUUUUCGAUUAAAGUCCCUUUUUUCUGUCUCAAGGC